UAUCAGGUAGUAGUGGGUGUAAUGUACCUACUAGCCAGCGACGGGUACGGGUUGUGAGAGCAAGAGCCCGGAGAUGGAUUCUGAGACAUGAAUCCAGGCCCUACGGGGCGCAGCAGGCGCGAAAACUUUACAAUGCGGGAAACCGUGAUAAGGGGACACCGAGUGCCAGCAUCAUAUGCUGGCUGUCCGGAUGUGUAAAAUACAUCCGUUAGCAAGGGCCGGGCAAGACCGGUGCCAGCCGCCGCGGUAACACCGGCGGCCCGAGUGGUGAUCGUGAUUAUUGGGUCUAAAGGGUCCGUAGCCGGUUUGGUCAGUCCUCCGGGAAAUCUGAUAGCUCAACUAUUAGGCUUUCGGGGGAUACUGCCAGACUUGGAACCGGGAGAGGUAAGAGGUACUACAGGGGUAGGAGUGAAAUCUUGUAAUCCCUGUGGGACCACCUGUGGCGAAGGCGUCUUACCAGAACGGGUUCGACGGUGAGGGACGAAAGCUGGGGGCACGAACCGGAUUAGAUACCCGGGUAGUCCCAGCCGUAAACGAUGCUCGCUAGGUGUCAGGCAUGGCGCGACCGUGUCUGGUGCCGCAGGGAAGCCGUGAAGCGAGCCACCUGGGAAGUACGGCCGCAAGGCUGAAACUUAAAGGAAUUGGCGGGGGAGCACAACAACGGGUGGAGCCUGCGGUUUAAUUGGACUCAACGCCGGACAACUCACCGGGGGCGACAGCAAUAUGUAGGCCAAGCUGAAGACUUUGCCUGAAUCGCUGAGAGGAGGUGCAUGGCCGUCGCCAGUUCGUACUGUGAAGCAUCCUGUUAAGUCAGGCAACGAGCGAGACCCGUGCCCACUGUUACCAGCAUGUCCUCCGGGACGAUGGGUACUCUGUGGGGACCGCCGAUGUUAAAUCGGAGGAAGGUGCGGGCCACGGUAGGUCAGUAUGCCCCGAAUCUCCCGGGCUACACGCGGGCUACAAUGGAUGGGACAAUGGGUCCCUCCCCUGAAAAGGGCUGGUAAUCUCACAAACCCAUUCGUAGUUCGGAUCGAGGGCUGUAACUCGCCCUCGUGAAGCUGGAAUCCGUAGUAAUCGCGU
rnacentral:rRNA from 1 species